UCAGAGCAAGAGACUUCUCACCCCACAGGGAGAGCUGCCAGCAUGACGCCUGCUACUUUGCUGUGGGCAGUCAUGGUCUCUACCUGUCUUGGAUCCAGCGUGGCCCAGAAGGUCACUCAGCCUCAACAAGAGAUGUCUGUGCAGGAGGCAGAGACUGCGACCCUGGCCUGCACAUAUGACACUAGUGAGAGUGAUUAUUAUUUGUUCUGGUACAAACAACCUCCCAGCGGGGAGAUGAUUUUCAUUAUCCGCCAAGAGGCUUUUAAGCAACAAAAUGCAACAGAAAAUCGCUUCUCUGUGAACUUCCAGAAAGCAACCAAAAACUUCAGCCUCAGGAUCUCAGACUGCCAGCUGGAGGAUGCUGCAGUGUAUUUCUGUGCUCUCAGUGAGGCACAGUGAGAUGAGUGAGAGGGAGAGGCUUACAGAAACCUCUGACCUCAGUGCCUGUGUCAAGGAGUGGGUGUGUAGUUGCUUAACAGGAACAUAGAAAUCAUUGUCUUUUCUUGGGAAUUAAAGCUCCUUUUAUCUGAAUAUCAGAAACAUAGAAAGAUGGAUGUCUGCAAGCUGUAAUCCUUAAAAUUAAAAUUAAAAUAAUGGCAUGUGUA